GAUGAACGCUGGCGGCGUGCCUAAUACAUGCAAGUCGAGCGAAUGGAUUAAGAGCUUGCUCUUAUGAAGUUAGCGGCGGACGGGUGAGUAACACGUGGGUAACCUGCCCAUAAGACUGGGAUAACUCCGGGAAACCGGGGCUAAUACCGGAUAACAUCUUGAACCGCGUGGUUCGAAAUUGAAAGGCGGCUCCGGCUGUCACUUAUGGGUGGACCCGCGUCGCAUUAGCUAGUUGGUGAGGUAACGGCUCACCAAGGCAACGAUGCGUAGCCGACCUGAGAGGGUGAUCGGCCACACUGGGACUGAGACACGGCCCAGACUCCUACGGGAGGCAGCAGUAGGGAAUCUUCCGCAAUGGACGAAAGUCUGACGGAGCAACGCCGCGUGAGUGAUGAAGGCUUUCGGGUCGUAAAACUCUGUUGUUAGGGAAGAACAAGUGCUAGUUGAAUAAGCUGGCACCUUGACGGUACCUAACCAGAAAGCCACGGCUAACUACGUGCCAGCAGCCGCGGUAA
rnacentral:rRNA from 1 species